UACGUAGGUGGCAAGCGUUGUUCGGAAUCACUGGGCGUAAAGCGCACGUAGGCGGCUUACUAAGUCAGGGGUGAAAUCCUGGAGCUCAACUCCAGAACUGCCUUUGAUACUGGUGAGCUUGAGUCCGGGAGAGGUGAGUGGAACUGCGAGUGUAGAGGUGAAAUUCGUAGAUAUUCGCAAGAACACCAGUGGCGAAGGCGGCUCACUGGCCCGAUACUGACGCUGAGGCACGAAAGCCAGGGGAGCAAACGGG
rnacentral:rRNA from 1 species